CCUACGGGAGGCAGCAGUGGGGAAUAUUGGACAAUGGGCGAAAGCCUGAUCCAGCCAUGCCGCGUGUGUGAAGAAGGCCUUCGGGUUGUAAAGCACUUUCAGUGGGGAAGAAAGCCUUGGGGCUAAUACCCUCGAGGAAGGACAUCACCCACAGAAGAAGCACCGGCUAACUCCGUGCCAGCAGCCGCGGUAAUACGGAGGGUGCGAGCGUUAAUCGGAAUUACUGGGCGUAAAGCGCGCGUAGGCGGUCUGAUAAGCCGGUUGUGAAAGCCCCGGGCUCAACCUGGGAACGGCAUCCGGAACUGUCAGGCUAGAGUGUAGGAGAGGAAGGUAGAAUUCCCGGUGUAGCGGUGAAAUGCGUAGAGAUCGGGAGGAAUACCAGUGGCGAAGGCGGCCUUCUGGACUGACACUGACGCUGAGGUGCGAAAGCGUGGGUAGCAAACAGGAUUAGAUACCCUAGUAGUC
rnacentral:rRNA from 1 species